rnacentral:rRNA from 1 species
UACGGAGGAUCCAAGCGUUAUCCGGAUUUAUUGGGUUUAAAGGGUGCGUAGGCGGCUUUUUAAGUCAGGGGUGAAAUCUCAAGGCUCAACCUUGGAACUGCCUUUGAUACUGGGGAUCUCGAGUCCGGAAGAGGUUGGUGGAACUGCGAGUGUAGAGGUGAAAUUCGUAGAUAUUCGGAAGAACACCAAUGGCGAAGGCAGCUCUCUGGGACGGUACUGACACUGAGACGCGAAAGCGUGGGGAGCGAACAGG